UAAUAUUUAACUACCGGUAUCAUCGAAUGGUACUAACAAUUCUAGUAAACAAUAUGAAAUGCUUGCAUGCAUAAUUAAUUAUAAAAACAUGCAUGAUGAUCUGAUGAUAAUCGAGGAUUUUCGAUUGUUGAAGGUCAUGAAAUUUUGCGAUGCCACAGUGACCCAUAAAUUACAAAAUUGAACGAACUCGCGUUACACAUAAUACGUGGAUACCGAUAAAAGCCUGCCAAACAUACCAUGAUGAGAUGAGAAGAAUUAAAAUCAUUGUUAUAAUAUAAUAUCUCAAAAAUAAGGGAACUGUGCUUGUGUGUUACGUUCCUGUUCCCGAGUCACUGCUAGGGGUGCUUGCCCUGCGGGUGAACUUAGACAGUAGGUUGCCGCCACGAAAGACGGUUUUAACGUCGAUAGUCACUAUUCGAAUCGUUCAGUAACCCGAAUGUCAGUCGAUAUCUGCAAACUCGAUGGCCAGGAUGGGAAGGUUCUUCCAAUUCAUGUGCCACAGAACGUGAGUCUCUUGGAAACGUAUCGUUACGUCAUGGAAAAUGCAGCAGAUUCCAGAGUAGCAGAUUGGAUGUUAAUGAGUAGUCCAUUUCCAUUGCUAGGAAUUAUAUUUCUUUAUUUGCUCUUUGUUCUUCGUCUUGGCCCAUUGUGGAUGAAAAAUCGAAAACCAUACAGUUUAAACAAAAUUAUGAUUUGUUACAAUAUUUUUAUGUCAACUGCCAGUGGAACUGUAUUUUAUGGAUUGUUAACAUCUGCCACAAAAUUUUCUCUUGGAUGCGAACCUCAUAUCGUUAUGAAUGAUCCCAAAUCUUAUCGUAUGGCUCGAUGGAUGUGGAGGCUCUUAAUGUUGAAAGUCCUCGAGUUGAGCGACACUAUCAUCUUCGUUCUAAGGAAAAAAUACAACCAAGCAUCUUUUCUUCACAUUUAUCAUCACACAUCGACCGUUCUUCUUGCCUGGAUAGCAUGCAAAUUUGUCCCAGGUGGUAUGUGGCCGUUCACGAUUAUGCCAAACUGCAUCGUGCACGUGAUUAUGUACACCUAUUAUCUGCUCGCCUGCUUGGGCCCAGAAGUGCAAAAGAGGAUCGCGCCUUGGAAACAAUACAUUACGGGUUUACAAAUGGUCCAGUUUAUUAUUAUGAUAUGUUAUACGUUUCAAACUUUGUUGCCUUCGUGUGAACCAAAUCGAAAACCGAUAGCCUAUAUUUAUAUGUCGCAGAUCCUUAUCAUGUUUGGUAUGUUUUGCGACUAUUACAAGAAAUCAUAUCUCAGAAAAAAGAUGAAGUAAUAACAAUUCAGAGAGAAUCAGAAAAGUCGAGGUAAGUGAUUACACGUUGUGUAAAUGCUACCAUGAAAAUCCAGUAGAGUCCAACCAUUGUGACCGCGCGAUAUGCUUCAUCCUGGAGGGCGUAUCUCUCUACACAGUGAUAAUUCCAUGAAAAAUCGGAAUAGAGCGAUCGUGAAUGCUUGAUAAAACACGGUUGGUGGAACACAUUAGAAAGACACGCAUCAGGAAGCAAGCAUGGGGCAUGAUACAAGGACACGUGUGCCUAAAGGGGUGACAUUACAGAAACGUUUUCCUGGCCGACCGAAAUUAGCAUAGAGGAUUACCGUGUCUGUGGCUUAAAGUCGACACGCAUGGUUGCACGCCGAUAAGAGUUUAUUAACGCUGGGUAUAUUUAUCUUGCAAUUUCGACCGACGCGAAACCCUUUACCCUCCCCUCAACUUUCCCUCUCAGGAUUCAGGAGGUAAGCUGGUCCAAAGAGCUAUCUAUAAUAUAUGUAUGCGUAUACAAUUUGUUAAAGAUGAUGAAUUGUUUCGAUUAUAAUAAUUUAAUUUUCUAUAAUGUUUUGUUCAAUGAAGAUAAUAUUGUAUGUUAAUAAUUAUUGAGAGGGAAUGACUUGAAAAUACGAAGAGGAAAAUUAUAUC
rnacentral:misc_RNA from 1 species